AAGGCUGCAAUGGCAACCAGCAAGAUGCUUCUCCCGGUCACUCUCUGCUUCCUCCUCGUGCUCGCAGCGGAGAGCAAGGAGGACGAUAAUACUGUCGUCGUCUUCUACGGCACAGCGCGAUGCAAGAUCAACACCUCCAGGAUCAUCAGCAGUAAGUAAAUUUAUAUGCUGGGUCAACAAGCUAAUUAAACUUCUUUCACAAAUCAAAUGGCCCAAGAAUAAUAGACAAUCAUAUGAGUUUGAGUUUGCUAACCACGCCUUCCACGCGGUCCGAAUAAUCGACAAUCAUAUAACGUAUGCAUGCAGCGGAAGACUAUGUACAUGGCAUCAUAAAUUUUACGCAAAAACAUAGUUCCAAAUUGUACAUAUUAUUAUGUAUCUGGACAUAAACUGUAUCUAGACAAAAAUUAUGCACCAAGAAAAAUUAAAAUGACCUACAAUUUGGAAUGCAGGGAGUAGCAUUUUGCAUGCCUGGCCCCGCCGCCCUCCUCUGCCCGCCCGCCGCCGCUCCCGCCUCCACCCGCCCGCCACCCUCCUCCCACCACCCACCCGCCGCCCUCCGCCACUCCCGCCUCCGCCCUCUGCCCGCCGCCGCUCUCGCCCGCCCGCCGCCGCCACCUCACCUCGCCCCGCCGCUACUCCUCACUGUGCCGGUAAGGGGCGAGCAGAGGAGGGAGGAGAGGGGAGGCAGUGGAUCGAGAUCUAGCUAGCGGAAGGGGAGAUAGAGGAGAGAGAGAUAGCAGCGGGGGUGGGGGGACGGAUGGUGCAUGUGAAGAUAAGAUAGCAGUGGGGGGACGGAUGGGAAAUAAAGACAGCAGAAGGAGAUGAAUGAGGGAUGGAAGGCCUAAAGAUAGCAGAAGGAGAUGAACGGUGGGUGGAAGGCCUUUAGUACCAAAUGGGGGCUCUACCGGGUGGAGCUCCCACCCGAUGUUAUACACAAAGGGUUCCUACCCUUAGUCCAUUUAAGGCGCACCCCCAAUAGUAGACCCUCAACUAUUUGAUCUUGGCUGGUACAACAAGAUCUAAUAGUUGCUCAUGUUAAAAGAGGCCGACAACUCAUUCUCCGGGUGUAUGCCUUUGGGUGGCUUGAAUGAUGAGCUUUGAAUCAGUAGAAAAUUUCAUUCCUGACCCUCGAUCAGCAGGCCUUGGUUUGAUGGCUGAUGUAGUCGAGUAGUCGUGGCUAAAGGUAUCUGUAACAUCUUCAAGCCUUCUCACACGAGCACCAUGCAACUAGGAUGGAUUGGUCCUCCAGUACACCCCCCAGCCCCUCUUGGCUGGUGUUCGUGAGAGAAGCUCGGCUCCGCACGUAGUGGAAGUAGUCGAAGUUGAAUCGUACGUGAAGUUGGUGAUGGUGUUGAAGUUGACGGCAAGCCCCUCGAGGCAAUGUAGUGAUGGCGAGGUAGGUGGCGAUGCCGAAGGUGAACCUCUCAAGCUGAUGUAGCAGAGGCAAAGUCGAGGGUGAUGCCGAGGUGGUGCCCCUAGAGCCGAUGUAGCGAAGGCAAAGUCGAGGGUGAUGCUGAGGUGGAGCCCCUCGAGCCAAUGUAGCGGAUGAUGCCGAGAUUGAGCCCUUUGAUCAUCCUAUCCUUUCGGAAAAUCCAGACCUUUGAAAUAGGUUAAUAUAUACGGGAUACCAAUAAGGUCAUGACCUUCAUUAUUGACCUUUUCAGAAAACCAAGUAUCAUAGCCCUGUAUUUUGUAGGUAACAUGACCUCCAUAGAGGGGUUAGCACACGAAUUUUCACUAUAUUGAAUUAACUUAGUUGCAACAUAGCAAAGAAUACUAAAAGAAAUGACAAAAUUCACAUAUGGUUAAGUAAUAAGCGCUCCAAGGGGUACACCCUGCAAACAGAAAUGUUAGUGAUUGAAGUGAAGCAAUAUAGUGCACACGCAUUCUCUAACAGUGGGGCGGCUGGUCAGAUUUGCAUGUCUUGGUGGCAAAUUAACUUAGCAUAUUUGUUGCAUUCCGGUAUUUCUAGAUACCUUCAAUCAAGGGAAAAAGAUUGACCCAUCUGUGCUUAGCAAUUGCUGGCAUGCAUAGAAUAGGAUCAUAACCAUCUAAGGUGGUAAGCUGAAACUGCAUUGUCUCUAGAAUAGGAUCAUAACCAUCGAAGGUGGCAAGCUGAAACUGUAUUGUCUCUAGAAUAGGAUCAUAACCAUCGAUGUUUAAUAUAAUUGCUUAUGUACUUAUUUUGCCCGCUUUGGUGGGCAGUUAGCAUUGGGAGAGUUGGUCUCAGCAGAGCGUGCCGAGGUAAUAUAUGCAUGCGUGGUUCUAGCUGCGAGGGUUAAGGUGAUGGACAGAGC
rnacentral:lncRNA from 1 species